AUCGAAGAUCGAUUUCCGCGGCUACGUUCACAUCUUCACAUCGCCUGAAUCGGCGAAGGUUUGCCGUAAUUGCCGACAGGUGGCGCCAGCAUAUAUUUUUCCGCUCGAAUUGAAGGACCGGAAAACAACAUGUAUUUCAAACGUGUCAAGAAUGCAGACAAUCUUGAAGCGCAUUGAUAACCACGCAGACGGAGAGCACGUUUAUUUCGCCGCUACUCUACUACUGCUGAAGCAUGUUUGCGUCUCGCAUCCAAGAUUAAAUGAGUCAGGUUUGUAAUCGACGGAAAAUAUUUUCAUUUUUAUUUUAUUUAUUUCGUUUCCAGUUUCUCGUUCUUCAAACCACUUUAGCCUUCUGAACAUCUAUUUUAUAAUCUUAAAAUGCAAGAAAAUGCAGCCAAAACGCCAACACUUAAAAAUGCACUCGAAAUCCGCGCGCGAGGCGCUGCUCCUCUUUUUCUCGGACGUUUUUUUUCUUUCUCUACGCUUUCCCACCGAAAUUUCCCAGACUGACCGAUGCA